rnacentral:rRNA from 1 species
UACGAGGGGGGCGAGCGUUGUUCGGAAUUAUUGGGCGUAAAGGGUGCGUAGGCGGUUUGGUAAGUCUGAUGUGAAAUCUAUGGGCUCAACUCAUAGUCUGCAUCGGAAACUGCCGGGCUUGAGUGUGGGAGAGGUGAGUGGAAUUCCUGGUGUAGCGGUGAAAUGCGUAGAUAUCAGGAGGAACACCUGUGGCGAAAGCGGCGCCACUGGACCACUUCUGACGCUGAGGCGCGAAAGCUAGGGGAGCAAACAGG